UGUGUGUGUGUGUGUGUGCAUACAGGCGUCCCAGAGGGGGUGAAAAGGCCUACACCUGCAGAGGAUCUGCAGAGAGCAUCUCUGUCAUCUGGAGACCUGAGAACAGAGAAGGAAAACAGAUGAAACAUACGGGGGUCACCCUCCACCCCCAGACGUUGUUAUUUCAAGCUUUUCUCAUCAUAUUGAGGAGGAAGGGAACAAUACACAGCACACACACACACACAUAAACUCGCUCGGAGCACUCGCUCAGAACAGCACAGUCAGCUCUUUCAGCAGACAGAAGAAAGAGAAAUAUCAAAGAGCUAAGGAGCAAGGAGGAGGGACAGGGUGAAAGAUAUAGACAGCAGGGGAGAUAAAGUACUUUAUCCACAGAGGCUUUACUCCUCACUACUCCUCUACCACUUUUGCACCAGUGUGAUACAAAACAUGCAUUAACACGACUUGAGCUAGAGGCAGCUUUUUUUUGUUCUCUCUCUUUUUAGGUUUUCAACUGUUUACAUCUGCCAGCUAUUUUUCACAGAGUCUUAAGAGAGGUGCGAGGGAACAAGCAGUGAGAAAUCUCGGAGAAAAAGGAAAUCUUGUCCACUGUUCAGGAAAAUCAACAGCGCUGGAGACACCAGGACACUUGGCACCACACUGACGUGACCCAAAAUUCGACCCUGCGGGACGCCAGUGACGGUCUGACAUGAAAGAUGAGGCGCAGAGGAGGACAUCAUCAACAGGCGGCGGGGAAACAAAGCUCCAGCUAAUCGCUGCUUCCUACAAAACUACAUCUGUAAAGUUACUUUUAACCCGAGAAACAAGCAAGACCAAAUAGCGAAACAGAGUAAAGACUCUUACACAGUCAAUUCAUGCUGUAGACGUGUUUUGUUCCUCACAAAAUUAACCUCUUUGAACCUUAACCAAUUAUUUUUACCAAGCAGGGAAGAGCAGCUUAAGACAACUUCAGGCACUUGCGUAACAAACUACAAGAAGAAACAGAUCUGCGCGCAUUUCCCCCCCUGGUAACCGUCCAAUAUUGAGGCUUCUUCAUGCCUCUGCUCUCGCUGUCUGCAAUGAGCGUCUGUGUACAUAGUUCUCCUGCACUUGGAUGCCCUUGCCACUCUGGGUUUAUCUUUUUUUUUCUCUACUGUUUCUUCUUAAAGAAACAUUUGUUGGGUUGAAUUAAAGCUUGAAUAAACUUCAAUAGGCUCGGGUGUUUGGCACGAGGCCCAUUGGGCUCGUCCGGUGUGGGCAUUCAACCCCCUCUGCAGCGGAGUAGACAGUGAAUUUUUCAAUACCUUCAGUGGAUGUUAUUUGUCCAACAGGUCCAUGAUGUUACCAGAGCUGCAGCACUGUCGGAAUACAAAAAUUCACUUAACUUGCUGAUAUUAUGUGACAUGAGCAGCGCCCCGAGGUUGUGAAGGGAUGGCACUGGGGGUUAGGCUAUGCUGAAUAAAUGCUUUGAUGCAGGUA